GGUCAGGGAUGAGCGCUGGCAUGUAUUAUCUGAUCUGGAGUUGAUGUCUAGAAUUACUCUGAGACCCG
rnacentral:snoRNA from 1 species